GAUGAACGCUAGCUACAGGCUUAACACAUGCAAGUCGAGGGGCAGCAUCAUCAAAGCUUGCUUUGAUGGAUGGCGACCGGCGCACGGGUGAGUAACACGUAUCCAACCUGCCGACAACACUGGGAUAGCCUUUCGAAAGAAAGAUUAAUACCGGAUGGCAUAGUUUUCCCGCAUGGGAUAAUUAUUAAAGAAUUUCGGUUGUCGAUGGGGAUGCGUUCCAUUAGGCAGUUGGCGGGGUAACGGCCCACCAAACCAACGAUGGAUAGGGGUUCUGAGAGGAAGGUCCCCCCACAUUGGAACUGAGACACGGUCCAAACUCCUACGGGAGGCAGCAGUGAGGAAUAUUGGUCAAUGGACGAGAGUCUGAACCAGCCAAGUAGCGUGAAGGAUGACUGCCCUAUGGGUUGUAAACUUCUUUUAUACGGGAAUAAAGUUAGCCACGUGUGGCUUUUUGUAUGUACCGUAUGAAUAAGGAUCGGCUAACUCCGUG
rnacentral:rRNA from 1 species